AACUUAGUGUUAGCCCAAUGCAGAGCGCUUUGUAACACGUUGACCUAUAAUACAAGUGUGUAAAUCACAAAUAGAAGAAUGUUUAUCAGCAUUCAUUACUUUUUCUUUCCAUUUUUGCAUCCUGGAAUACAGCAUUAGCCCACUACAGUACUUACAAAGUCAUGUGUAGCAAAUUGGCUAGUUGUAUAAAUCUAUACUGGUUUCUAAGACAAAUCACAAUAGGCUGGUACCCAAGCUGUCCUUAUAAAGAACAACAGAUUCCUCUACUAAACAGGACAGCUGUUCCCUCCCUUCCCCCCACAGAGCAUAUCCCUUUGAACAUUCUACCCCCACCUCCAAAUUCUCAUCAAACAACAAAGGGUUAAUGUCACUUAAGUUUUCACACAAAGCCCAGACUAACCCUGGGGGGGGUUGGGUUGUGGGCAGGGGGAUUAACAUUUUGAUAAUUGUAUCUUCUGAUUCUAUUUCUUACAUGUGCAAGGUGAGUGGAUUAACAUUAAAAUGUUUGCCUUAAUGAAAACUGUGCACAACAGGUCUACAUUUUAAAUUUCAAGGAUGAGGGGGGAUGAGGGUGUUGGGCAACUGGUGAGACAAUGCACAUGGCAGGAGACUUUGCAAUAUGUUGUAGGUGACCUACCUAGACAGAGUGAAUUGAGAUACAAUAAUGCAGUAAGUGUGCCCCUGCACAUAGAAUCUUACAAUCUAGCAUUACAAUAUGUCUCAUAAAAUGUCUUUUACAUAGCUGUCAACUAUCAUGUCACAUGAGUUCUCUGAACAUUAUUGUUUCAUUGUUUUAUAAUGUGAA